ensembl:lncRNA
GGGAAUGCCUUUUCUUCCCCUAGGCUCACCGAAUUACAGGAAAAUCGGAGAGCUCUAGAAAGUGGAUAAAGGUUACCUCCUCCAGGCAGCUUUCCUUAUUCUCUCCCUCCUCCCUUUGUAGAACAAACCCUCCCUCUCUGUUCUCCUGGUGCCUGGAGCAUGUGACUGCACCCCCUUGUAGGCUGUGUGUCUCCUCCAGGGAAUGUGCUUCUCUGAUGCAGACACUACACUUUUUUCACCAUGGGAGGAGUCCCCUGGACUGCAAUGAGAUCCAACCAGUCAGUCCUAAAGGAAAUCAGUCCUGAAUAUUCAUUGGAAGAACUGAUGCUGAAGCUGAAAUUCCAAUACUUUGGCCACCUGAUGCGAAGAACUGACUCAUUGGAAAACACCUUGAUGCUGGACAAGAUUGAAGGCAGGAGGAGAAGGGGACAACAGAGGAUGAGAUGGUUGGAUGGCAUCACCAAUUUGAUGGACAUGAGUUUGAGCAAGCUCUGGGAGUUGGUGAUGGACAGGGAAGCCUGGUGUGCUGCAGUCCACGGGGUCACAAAGAGUUGAACACGAGUGAACUGAACUGAAUUUCCUCUCUCUGAAUUUAUUUCUCUUGCUGAAAGAGAAGUUUGACUCCUGCAGCUGGAUAGUUUUGAAGAGUAAUAUUCAAUAGUGUAUUAAUGAUCAGUUCUUUUCCUGUAGGACUUUUACUUGAGUAAUGUUCCAAGUUAGAGGUUAUACCCAGAAAUAAAUGACUGGCUCACCAAUGGAAGGACAAACCUCGAGCACUGGUAGGUG